CCAGAGACACCAAAAGGUUGGACACCCCUGGAACAUCACAGGGCAAUUUAUUGGCCGUGCUGUUAAAUCUGAUGCUGCUUUGCAGUAGAGGAGAGCAGAGCCAUGGGUCACCCUAAAGUGAGGUUGACAGGAACUUUAGCUUACAAAAUGUAACAGCUGAAUGAAAAUGGAGAUACAGGAAUAACCAUUGGUUUUCAUGUUAUUGUCUAUGUCAGCGAUUUUCAAGUGGUGUGUGCCACACAGCAUGCACAUUAGGAGCCACAAGAAUGUUUAAAGCGUGCAACAUCGGACUACUUAGUUGGGGGUUCUGACCUCGUUUCCCUUAGAUUGUCAAAUAAAAAAAUGGCAACAGCCAACACAAUAA